GGAGGAACGAUAAAAAGAUUAAAAGAGGGAAGCGGAAGAGUUGGGAGCUGGCGGCCGAGCCCCGGGAAAAGCUGCCAAGAGAUGAGACCAAUUCACAGACCUUACUGUAUGAGAAGCAAUGCUCCUCAAACCUUCUGCGUUCUGACAUAGACCUUCCCAGACGCAAAACUGUUGGCGGCGACCAGAGCGCUAGAAGCCGAAGGGGAGGAGGAGCGGCCGGCACAAAGGAGGCGGACUCGCGGCGGCGUCGGCCCGGCCGGGGAGCACGGCCCGUGGCCCUACUGCACCGAAGUCCCGCACUGGCGGCUGGGAAUAAAGUUUGCGUUCUCCUGAGGCCGCACCCCCCACCUCCCACCCAGGACCGCACAUCUCCGCGCCCUCCUCCCCCAAACUCCACUCGGGACCCCAAGAGCCACCCCAGCCUUCCAGCCAGCACAACAAAGAGACGCACCGACCAGCGAGGGUAAACAGCGGCGGCAGGGCGAGAGGGCGGGCAGGGCGAGCGCCUCCAGAUUAGCAACUCCGGAGUCCCCCGCUCGCAGGAGCGUAGUUCCUCCUUUUCUGUUUCAACCGGCUUUAUAACAUUUGGGAUUUUCAUCUUCACCCGCACCCCUCACACCCGAGGAUUUGAAACUCACCUUUACUUUCGAACUGAGAGUUGCGGUGGAUGGGAUUUUUGCCUUCCCCAGAUGGUUGAAGGUUAAGAUUUUUGGAAACCCCGCCACCUCCUUAUUUCUAUUAUUAUUUCUGCAAGAAAAGUAUAAAGAGAGUUGGAUUGGAGGUGAGAUGUGUGAUCGGGAAAGCCCUUGACUCCCUCCUUCUCCGUCUUCCGCCUCCUCUCUCUCUGAUUAGUUCCUAUCCAGCAGCAGAUUGAAGCAGGAGAUGAUUCUUCUCAAGGUUUGUUCAGCAGCUUCACUUCUAGGCGAAGGCUUCAUGAACCAAGUGACGUCAACCAACAAGGCUUCUCUCUCUCUCCUCUCUCUAACAAUGAAAGUUGCUGUUAACAAGGGAAAAAAGAGAGAGAAUUGUUUAUACCAUUUCGGUUCCAAUAAUAAAUGACCUAUCAGCUCCUAAAGGAGCCAAGAGAGGGGUUUGCUUCUUCCUUCCAAGAAUACUGUAGCUUUGAGUUUGCACCGUUCCUUGUCCCAGGAAAGUUAAGAAACUUAAAAUGUUGUUUUGCUCUGCUUUUACAGAAGAUAUGACAGAAAACAGGAUUGCAAAUUUAAUUUUUUAAAAAGGAAAACUGGAGAAUAGGGAGCUCUGGGUAAUCAUCUCCACCUAAACUUUUUUGUUCCUAAAUUCAGAAUUCUGUUGAAAUCUACAAACCAACAAAAUUAAUAUCCCGAGAACUUGUGGAUGUUAGGACUCAGAGUUAAAUAAAAAGCAGGAUGCAGGAUGGUCCCAGUAUAAAAUUCUACUGUCCUUCCUUGGGCAAGUUAAACUGGCUGUAAUGUUUAUGCACUGAGUUAAAAUAAAAUUUAAAUAAAAGACGUUAAAACUGUAAAUCGCCUUAAAGUUAUAUGUACAAACUGUAAAAGGUAAUCUCGGUUGUUUUGUUUUGUUUUUGGUUUUGGGUUUUUUCACCCAGUUUCUCACAGGUUAGGAAAAAAAGGAUAGCUAAUUGUAGGAACACUUUUUAAGAAAAUCAAGUUAUAAGUAAGACUGGAAGCCCACUGCUCCAUCUUUAAAACGAUACAUACGGUUAUAUACUAUUUGUCUAGCCCCAUAAUCUCUUCCAACUUUCUAUGUUUUUACUCUUCCACUCCCCCAACACGAAUUCCCAAAUCCUGCAACCAAUCAAGAUAAACUAAAGAACAUCCCAUUCCCUCCCACACUCCAUCCUAUAGCUUCCUAAAAACUAUUUUUAAAAAAGCCUUAACCUUGAUAACAAUUUAUUAUCCAUUAAGAAAUGUAAUUUUUUAAAAAAAGUUCGCUGAGGCAGUUUUUAUGUUCCUCCAGAACACAAUAACGUCUCGAAGUUCAUAUUAUUUUUUUAAAUUGUAUGAUUUAAUUUUCAGGAUGAAGAGUAAGUAAAAAUUAAGCUAUAGGAAAAUAAUUUGAUCAUAUAUGUGUAUUUUAUACAUACAUAUGUGGAUAGAUGUAUCUUAAAAGAUGCUAUUGUUUUAUGUUUCCUCUUCAGCUACUGGCUGUGAUUUUAAUUGUGCUGGAGGAUCUUCAUUAGUAUUAACACAUGGGGAGAUUUCACAAAGCUGCUUCAUUAGGAAAAAAAAAAGCUUGGCAGACUAGGUCUUUUUGCAUGCACUGAGAAUGUCAGCCUUACCUCGGUCAUUUGUAACAUAAUAAGUGCAAGUACAAUGAUUGCGAUGCAGGAGCACUGGGGGAAGGGCAGAAAUACUGCCUGUCUAAUAAGGAUAUCUGAAAAGAAGGCUGCUCAUUACAUAGUAAAAUGUAUGCUAAAAAUUAGUGAAGAUGAUGUCUCAGGAGACUGAUGCUAAAUAAAUUAAUGUGCUGAUAUGUUUUUAA